UGGGGAAUAUUGCACAAUGGGCGCAAGCCUGAUGCAGCCAUGCCGCGUGUGUGAAGAAGGCCUUCGGGUUGUAAAGCACUUUCAGCGAGGAGGAAGGGUUCAGUGUUAAUAGCACUGUUCAUUGACGUUACUCGCAGAAGAAGCACCGGCUAACUCCGUGCCAGCAGCCGCGGUAAUACGGAGGGUGCAAGCGUUAAUCGGAAUUACUGGGCGUAAAGCGCACGCAGGCGGUUUGUUAAGUCAGAUGUGAAAUCCCCGCGCUUAACGUGGAACUGCAUUUGAAACUG
rnacentral:rRNA from 1 species